UACGAGGGGGGCAAAUGUUGUUCGGAAUCACUGGGCGUAAAGGGAGCGUAGGCGGGCUUCUAAGUUAGGUGUUUAAUCCCAGGGCCCAACCCUGGUCGUGCACUUAAAACUGGGAGUCUUGAAUAGAGGAGAGGUCCGUGGAAUUGGAGGUGUAGCGGUGGAAUGCGUAGAUAUCAGGAGGAACACCGGUGGCGAAGGCGGCUACCUGGACAGAAACUGACGCUGAGGCACGAAAGCUAGGGGAGCAAAC
rnacentral:rRNA from 1 species